GAUGAACGCUGGCGGCGUGCCUAAUACAUGCAAGUAGAACGCUGAAGGAGGAGCUUGCUCUUUCCGGAUGAGUUGCGAACGGGUGAGUAACGCGUAGGUAACCUGCCUGGUAGCGGGGGAUAACUAUUGGAAACGAUAGCUAAUACCGCAUAACAGUAGAUAUUGCAUGAUAUUUGCUUGAAAGGGGCAAUUGCUCCACUACCAGAUGGACCUGCGUUGUAUUAGCUAGUUGGUGAGGUAACGGCUCACCAAGGCGACGAUACAUAGCCGACCUGAGAGGGUGAUCGGCCACACUGGGACUGAGACACGGCCCAGACUCCUACGGGAGGCAGCAGUAGGGAAUCUUCGGCAAUGGACGGAAGUCUGACCGAGCAACGCCGCGUGAGUGAAGAAGGGUUUCGGAUCGUAAAGCUCUGUUGUAAGAGAAGAACGAGUGUGAGAGUGGAAAGUUCACACUGUGACGGUAUCUUACCAGAAAGAGACGGCUAACUACGUG
rnacentral:rRNA from 1 species